GGAAGUGUGGCCGAGUGGUUUAAGGCAGCGGUCUUGAAAACCGCCGACUGUAACAGGUCCCAGAGUUCGAAUCUCUGCGCUUCCGCCA
rnacentral:tRNA from 1 species